rnacentral:misc_RNA from 1 species
CAUAAGUGCUUGAAGUUGUUGCUACAAACAAAAGAAAGUGAUUAACAGAACAAGCAUGAGCGAGCUAUUGACAGCCACUUAAAUGUAUUUUACAGUUUUAUACCAACUGGAAGUAGUGCCACUAUACGAAUCAUAAAUGGAUAACCAAAAAAACUGUUAGAAACAAAAAUAUGUGAAUGAUUAUGGGCAUACGGCCACAUCUCUCCGAACCAUUAUGACAAAAAUGGAGCAAUGCCGAUAAGUAUGAAACAACCUAUAACUAUUAGAAAGUAAUAAAAUAUUACAUUACAUUACAUUAUUUUUCGGAAUGGAGGAUUUGGAUAGGGG